GGGUUGUGAGGUUAAGCGACUAAGCGUACACGGUGGAUGCCCUGGCAGUCAGAGGCGAUGAAGGACGUGCUAAUCUGCGAUAAGCGUCGGUAAGGUGAUAUGAACCGUUAUAACCGGCGAUUUCCGAAUGGGGAAACCCAGUGUGAUUCGUCACACUAUCAUUAACUGAAUCCAUAGGUUAAUGAGGCGAACCGGGGGAACUGAAACAUCUAAGUACCCCGAGGAAAAGAAAUCAACCGAGAUUCCCCCAGUAGCGGCGAGCGAACGGGGAGCAGCCCAGAGCCUGAAUCAGUGUGUGUGUUAGUGGAAGCGUCUGGAAAGGCGCGCGAUACAGGGUGACAGCCCCGUACACAAAAAUGCACAUGCUGUGAGCUCGAUGAGUAGGGCGGGACACGUGGUAUCCUGUCUGAAUAUGGGGGGACCAUCCUCCAAGGCUAAAUACUCCUGACUGACCGAUAGUGAACCAGUACCGUGAGGGAAAGGCGAAAAGAACCCCGGCGAGGGGAGUGAAAAAGAACCUGAAACCGUGUACGUACAAGCAGUGGGAGCACGCUUAGGCGUGUGACUGCGUACCUUUUGUAUAAUGGGUCAGCGACUUAUAUUCUGUAGCAAGGUUAACCGAAUAGGGGAGCCGAAGGGAAACCGAGUCUUAACUGGGCGUUAAGUUGCAGGGUAUAGACCCGAAACCCGGUGAUCUAGCCAUGGGCAGGUUGAAGGUUGGGUAACACUAACUGGAGGACCGAACCGACUAAUGUUGAAAAAUUAGCGGAUGACUUGUGGCUGGGGGUGAAAGGCCAAUCAAACCGGGAGAUAGCUGGUUCUCCCCGAAAGCUAUUUAGGUAGCGCCUCGUGAAUUCAUCUCCGGGGGUAGAGCACUGUUUCGGCAAGGGGGUCAUCCCGACUUACCAACCCGAUGCAAACUGCGAAUACCGGAGAAUGUUAUCACGGGAGACACACGGCGGGUGCUAACGUCCGUCGUGAAGAGGGAAACAACCCAGACCGCCAGCUAAGGUCCCAAAGUCAUGGUUAAGUGGGAAACGAUGUGGGAAGGCCCAGACAGCCAGGAUGUUGGCUUAGAAGCAGCCAUCAUUUAAAGAAAGCGUAAUAGCUCACUGGUCGAGUCGGCCUGCGCGGAAGAUGUAACGGGGCUAAACCAUGCACCGAAGCUGCGGCAGCGACACUAUGUGUUGUUGGGUAGGGGAGCGUUCUGUAAGCCUGUGAAGGUGUGCUGUGAGGCAUGCUGGAGGUAUCAGAAGUGCGAAUGCUGACAUAAGUAACGAUAAAGCGGGUGAAAAGCCCGCUCGCCGGAAGACCAAGGGUUCCUGUCCAACGUUAAUCGGGGCAGGGUGAGUCGACCCCUAAGGCGAGGCCGAAAGGCGUAGUCGAUGGGAAACAGGUUAAUAUUCCUGUACUUGGUGUUACUGCGAAGGGGGGACGGAGAAGGCUAUGUUGGCCGGGCGACGGUUGUCCCGGUUUAAGCGUGUAGGCUGGUUUUCCAGGCAAAUCCGGAAAAUCAAGGCUGAGGCGUGAUGACGAGGCACUACGGUGCUGAAGCAACAAAUGCCCUGCUUCCAGGAAAAGCCUCUAAGCAUCAGGUAACAUCAAAUCGUACCCCAAACCGACACAGGUGGUCAGGUAGAGAAUACCAAGGCGCUUGAGAGAACUCGGGUGAAGGAACUAGGCAAAAUGGUGCCGUAACUUCGGGAGAAGGCACGCUGAUAUGUAGGUGAAGUCCCUCGCGGAUGGAGCUGAAAUCAGUCGAAGAUACCAGCUGGCUGCAACUGUUUAUUAAAAACACAGCACUGUGCAAACACGAAAGUGGACGUAUACGGUGUGACGCCUGCCCGGUGCCGGAAGGUUAAUUGAUGGGGUUAGCCGCAAGGCGAAGCUCUUGAUCGAAGCCCCGGUAAACGGCGGCCGUAACUAUAACGGUCCUAAGGUAGCGAAAUUCCUUGUCGGGUAAGUUCCGACCUGCACGAAUGGCGUAAUGAUGGCCAGGCUGUCUCCACCCGAGACUCAGUGAAAUUGAACUCGCUGUGAAGAUGCAGUGUACCCGCGGCAAGACGGAAAGACCCCGUGAACCUUUACUAUAGCUUGACACUGAACAUUGAGCCUUGAUGUGUAGGAUAGGUGGGAGGCUUAGAAGUGUGGACGCCAGUCUGCAUGGAGCCGACCUUGAAAUACCACCCUUUAAUGUUUGAUGUUCUAACGUUGACCCGUAAUCCGGGUUGCGGACAGUGUCUGGUGGGUAGUUUGACUGGGGCGGUCUCCUCCUAAAGAGUAACGGAGGAGCACGAAGGUUGGCUAAUCCUGGUCGGACAUCAGGAGGUUAGUGCAAUGGCAUAAGCCAGCUUGACUGCGAGCGUGACGGCGCGAGCAGGUGCGAAAGCAGGUCAUAGUGAUCCGGUGGUUCUGAAUGGAAGGGCCAUCGCUCAACGGAUAAAAGGUACUCCGGGGAUAACAGGCUGAUACCGCCCAAGAGUUCAUAUCGACGGCGGUGUUUGGCACCUCGAUGUCGGCUCAUCACAUCCUGGGGCUGAAGUAGGUCCCAAGGGUAUGGCUGUUCGCCAUUUAAAGUGGUACGCGAGCUGGGUUUAGAACGUCGUGAGACAGUUCGGUCCCUAUCUGCCGUGGGCGCUGGAGAACUGAGGGGGGCUGCUCCUAGUACGAGAGGACCGGAGUGGACGCAUCACUGGUGUUCGGGUUGUCAUGCCAAUGGCACUGCCCGGUAGCUAAAUGCGGAAGAGAUAAGUGCUGAAAGCAUCUAAGCACGAAACUUGCCCCGAGAUGAGUUCUCCCUGACUCCUUGAGAGUCCUGAAGGAACGUUGAAGACGACGACGUUGAUAGGCCGGGUGUGUAAGCGCAGCGAUGCGUUGAGCUAACCGGUACUAAUGAACCGUGAGGCUUAACCUUACAACGCCGAAGGUGUUU
rnacentral:rRNA from 1 species